CAGUGCGGGAUCCGUCGUGCCCAGCAGGGACUCGGACCUGCAGGGUGGGUCCUGCCGGACGUGGCGCACCAAGCCAGGCCGGGUACCUGUCCCCGGCGGUGCUCACGGCGCUGCGCGGCCGCCGCCGUCUGUCUGGGAUCAGAGGAGCCAGGCCAACUGCUUCUCAUUAAGUCCCAACUGUGGUUUUUAUCAGGAGAGCCUCUUUCAAAGGGCACAGACACGAAGCUCCGCGGACUCGCUCAUUUCCUCCGCUGACCCCCACACACCUCCCAGCCCUCCUCCCCUACACAUUCCCACCGCCCCGACUGGGCGAAGGCCCGAGCUGCCUGGCCUCUCCGAGGAGGCCCGCGAGGCGCCAGCGGGGCGGAGGCGGGUUGCAGCCGAUCUCGGAGGAUCCAGCUCUGGGCCUAAGCUGCGGGAUGCGGCAGCAAAGAUGAGGCGGGCGCGGGCACCGACAUUUCCACAGGUCAGCCGGUGCAGCGGGCGGCGGCGGGGUUGCGAACCCGCCCGCCAGGCCCCGGAGUUCAGGCGCGUUCUUGGGAGACUGCGCGGUCCAACUGGCCUUAGUGAAUAGGGCACUGGCCCAGGAGCCGGAGGCACCCAGGGGUUAGGCCCGCUCCCGACGGCCCCGCGGUGACGAUCCAGUGCGAGGAAGCCAAGACUGCGAGAAGGGCGGCCAUCGCCGUGCAUAACGACGGGGAGCCCAGCAUGAAGUUGGCAGCUGCACUUUCUUGGAAUAAUAUUCAUAACAAUGACUAGCACUUACCGAGCGAUGACUACAUGGCAAACACUUUGAUGGGCUUCGCAUGUAUUAACUCGGUUAACCCUCACAAGGACGCUUUAAAGCCUCGCGGAGCGCGCCCUGUGUGCUCAGGAAGUGCUGGACGGGGGGCUGCCGUGGGGUGAAGGAGGCAUGGGGUGCCGGAACCAGGAUUUCAGGCUUUCCACUCCCGGACUCCACUUUCUCUGCCAAAGUUUUCCCGUGAACCAUUUCCAGACUAUAAGGAGAGGGGAAGAAGGAUGCUGUUCUCAGCAGGGAGGCCUGCAGAGAUUGUCGUCUCUCUAGGGAAGAAGGAGAGGCUGCAGGCAGGUUCGUAGCCUUCCACAGCCUGCCGUACUGGACACUGCAUCCUCCUGCAUGGCUCGGCCUGUCUAAAUUUUGUCUUCAUUCAGCAAACAUGCAGGCGAGGCCUUCUGUGUACCAGGCUCUGUGUGCUGGAGGCAGGGGGUACGAAGACAGAUGAAGCCUCUUCCUGCCCCUGCGAGUCACUGAGGGAGACACAGACACAUAUGGGUGCAUCAAUACGGGGAGCAUUCAAGGCCGGUAAUUGUUGCACAGAGAGAAGUGGGAUUACUUCCACCCAGGACUGGGGAAAGCAGGGAAGUCUUCAUGGAGGAGACUCACCCAGUAGGCGGGCGUGGACGAGGACCCAGAACCCACUGCCUUUGAUGAUGUCCCAUCCUCCACCCCACCUGCACACUCGUGCAACACUAAUUCAUAGGCACAGCUCUCCAGCCCGGUGCUCGAGAAUGAUAGGAAAUGGCCUCAUGCGCAGCCUGGCUGAAAGGAGAAGAGUGUCGGGGUGCUCAGACCGCAGGACAUUGUCCAAGUGGCCCUGUCGCUGACAUCACCAGGCAGAGGGGUUUAAGGAGGAUGCAUUUUCAUCCUACGCAAAACUCACUCUCCGGUGAGGAUGUGAAUGAAACAGGUCAACAGAGGCUCAAGUCCCAACUCUGUCACUUAGCAGCUGUGUGUGAGGCUGGGUAAGUCACCAGUAAAAUAAAAUAAUUCAGUUCCCUUCAGAGAGCUGUCAGGAGGAUCAUGUGAGACAAUGGAAUUGAAAUGUGCUUUGUAAACUGUGACUGUAUGUUGACGAGAAGUGUGACUACUGCGUCUUUAUGCAGAUUUAAGCCCAUGGGGUAUGUGAUGCCUUCCUGGUAGCCUGGCUUGGCUAGAAUUCCCAUGUGCUAGUCUCUCAUGGAGUUGGAGAACAGAAAGGAAGCAGCAGCUAUUUUGUAGCAUACACUCGCCAUCUCCCAGUUAUUCAAUCAAACACUAACCCAGGUGCUGCUGCAAAGGGAUUUUGCACAGGUGAUUAAAGUCCCUAAUCAGCUGACUUUAAAUUAUGGAGAUUAUCCCAGCGGGGUAAUCUCUGGCUCACUCUGUUGGAAGCCCUUUCAGAGAAGGCGUGGGUCUUCCCUGAGAGGGACUCAGGCCUGUGGCCAACAGCUUCAGCUGGUGCCUGUGGGUUUCAGCCUGCCCAUGGUCAUCCCUUCCUGCCUGCUUGCCUGCCCCACAGACCUCGGACCCGCUUAGCCAGCCCCACACUCAUGUAAGCCAAUUCCAUGUA